rnacentral:lncRNA from 1 species
AUGAAAAAGUUGUCACCAACUGGCAGUGGUGAAUUGCCACUUGGGAACCAAAAGGUGAAGGCAGAAGAGAGGCCAUGCAUCCCCUUCGGUGUUGGUCAGCCAGGCCAGAGAAACACCCCCAUCAAGCAGCGAUGCAACAGGCCUCUCGAAGUAACUCUUGAGCAUGAUCUAGAGAUAGCAACUGCUUUUCGCUGAUCCAUGACAAGAUGAUGAUCAUCAGCACGGACAAUGUACUGAACUUUCUUAAGACUGAAUAUUUCAUUUAAAGGAUUAUCAGUGGAGAGUAUACCCUUCCUCUCUUUUUGUCAUUAAAAUAUCUAUUUGUGUAUGAAACAGUGGUGAUAGGAUAUCACAGUUUGGUUGUUUUUUUUAAAAAAUAUAUUUAAUUUCCUUUCUUUUAAAAAAGCUUUUGUAUUUUUGGCUGUGCUGGGUCUUAGUUGCAGCAUACAAACUCUUAGUUGCUGUAUGUGGGAUCUAGUUCUCUGACCAGGGAUUGAACCUGGGCCCCCUGCCCUGGGAGCAUGGAGUCUUAGCCACUGGACCACCAGAGAAGCCCCUUGGUCGUUGUUUCUGUUUUGAUUUCCUUGGCAAAAUUAAAAGUUGGCAAACCAACAUGUCUCCCCAGAUUUUGAUCUGAAAUUUUACCAGCGCUCAAAAUUCAAAACUGUGACAGUCCCGCUAACACACCACAUGGUGGAUCUGAGUAAGACAAACCUUGCGUAUAAAUCCAGCUCUGUUACUUCCUUGAUUGCAUGAACUGCCCUGUCUUGUCUGAGCCACAGGCUGCUCACCAAUUGUUCAUUUGCUCAGUCCUGUCCGACUCUUUGCGACCCCAUGGACUUCAGCACACCAGGCCUCCCUGUCCAUCACCAACU